CCUACGGGAGGCUGCAGUAAGGAAUAUUGGACAAUGGGCGCAAGCCUGAUCCAGCCAUGCCGCGUGAAGGAUGAAUGUCCUCUGGAUUGUAAACUUCUUUUAUUUGGGACGAAAAAAGAGCAUUCUUGCUCACUUGACGGUACCAAGUGAAUAAGCACCGGCUAACUCCGUGCCAGCAGCCGCGGUAAUACGGAGGGUGCAAGCGUUAUCCGGAUUCACUGGGUUUAAAGGGUGCGUAGACGGCUAGGUAGAAAUCUCGGAGCUUAACUCCGAAACUGCCAUUGAUACUAUCUAUCUUGAAUAUUGUUGAGGUUUGCGGAAUAUGUCAUGUAGCGGUGAAAUGCAUAGAUAUGACAUAGAACACCUAUUGCGAAGGCAGCAGGCUAAACAUAUAUUGACGCUGAGGGACGAAAGCGUGGGGAUCAAACAGGAUUAGAUACCCUAGUAGUC
rnacentral:rRNA from 1 species